GACGAACGCUGGCGGCGUGCCUAAUACAUGCAAGUAGAACGCUGAAGGAGGAGCUUGCUCUUCUGGAUGAGUUGCGAACGGGUGAGUAACGCGUAGGUAACCUGCCUGGUAGCGGGGGAUAACUAUAGGAAACGAUAGCUAAUACCGCAUAAGAGUAGAUGUUGCAUGACAUUUACUUAAAAGGUGCACUUGCAUCACUACCAGAUGGACCUGCGUUGUAUUAGCUAGUUGGUGGGGUAACGGCUUACCAAGGCGACGAUACAUAGCCGACCUGAGAGGGUGAUCGGCCACACUGGGACGGAGACACGGCCCAGACUCCUGCGGGAGGCAGCAGUAGGGAAUCUUCGGCAAUGGACGGAAGUCUGACCGAGCAACGCCGCGUGAGUGAAGAAGGUUGUCGGAUCGUAAAGCUCUGUUGUAAGAGAAGAACGAGUGUGAGAGUGGAAAGUUCACACUGUGACGGUAUCUUACCAGAAAGGGACGGCUAACUACGUG
rnacentral:rRNA from 1 species